UACGUAGGUGGCAAGCGUUGUCCGGAUUUACUGGGCGUAAAGAGCGCGCAGGCGGUCGUUCAAGUCGCGUGUGAAAGCCCCCGGCUCAACUGGGGAGGGUCACGCGAUACUGAUCGACUGGAAGGCAGGAGAGGGUAGUGGAAUUCCCGGUGUAGUGGUGAAAUGCGUAGAUAUCGGGAGGAACACCAGUGGCGAAGGCGACUACCUGGCCUGUUCUUGACGCUGAAGCGCGAAAGCUAGGGGAGCAAACGGG
rnacentral:rRNA from 1 species